AACGAACGCUGGCGGCAGGCUUAACACAUGCAAGUCGAACGGGCUCUUCGGAGCUAGUGGCAGACGGGUGAGUAACGCGUGGGAACCUACCUAUAAGUACGGAACAACACAGAGAAAUUUGUGCUAAUACCGUAUGUGCUCUUUGGAGUAAAGAUUUAUCGCUUAUAGAUGGGCCCGCGUUAGAUUAGCUAGUUGGUGAGGUAAUGGCUCACCAAGGCGACGAUCUAUAGCUGGUCUGAGAGGAUGAUCAGCCACACUGGGACUGAGACACGGCCCAGACUCCUACGGGAGGCAGCAGUGAGGAAUAUUGGACAAUGGGGGCAACCCUGAUCCAGCCAUGCCGCGUGAGUGAUGACGGCCUUAGGGUUGUAAAGCUCUUUCGCUAGGGAAGAUAAUGACGGUACCUAGUAAAGAAGCCCCGGCUAACUUCGUG
rnacentral:rRNA from 1 species